UACAUGCAAGUCGAACGCGUUGGCCCAAUUGAUUGAUGGUGCUUGCACCUGAUUGAUUUUGGUCGCCAACGAGUGGCGGACGGGUGAGUAACACGUAGGUAACCUGCCCAGAAGCGGGGGACAACAUUUGGAAACAGAUGCUAAUACCGCAUAACAGCGUUGUUCGCAUGAACAACGCUUAAAAGAUGGCUUCUCGCUAUCACUUCUGGAUGGACCUGCGGUGCAUUAGCUUGUUGGUGGGGUAAUGGCCUACCAAGGCGAUGAUGCAUAGCCGAGUUGAGAGACUGAUCGGCCACAAUGGGACUGAGACACGGCCCAUACUCCUACGGGAGGCAGCAGUAGGGAAUCUUCCACAAUGGGCGCAAGCCUGAUGGAGCAACACCGCGUGAGUGAAGAAGGGUUUCGGCUCGUAAAGCUCUGUUGUUAAAGAAGAACACGUAUGAGAGUAACUGUUCAUACGUUGACGGUAUUUAACCAGAAAGUCACGGCUAACUACGUGCCAGCAGCCGCGGUAAUACGUAGGUGGCAAGCGUUAUCCGGAUUUAUUGGGCGUAAAGAGAGUGCAGGCGGUUUUCUAAGUCUGAUGUGAAAGCCUUCGGCUUAACCGGAGAAGUGCAUCGGAAACUGGAUAACUUGAGUGCAGAAGAGGGUAGUGGAACUCCAUGUGUAGCGGUGGAAUGCGUAGAUAUAUGGAAGAACACCAGUGGCGAAGGCGGCUACCUGGUCUGCAACUGACGCUGAGACUCGAAAGCAUGGGUAGCGAACAGGAUUAGAUACCCUGGUAGUCCAUGCCGUAAACGAUGAGUGCUAGGUGUUGGAGGGUUUCCGCCCUUCAGUGCCGGAGCUAACGCAUUAAGCACUCCGCCUGGGGAGUACGACCGCAAGGUUGAAACUCAAAGGAAUUGACGGGGGCCCGCACAAGCGGUGGAGCAUGUGGUUUAAUUCGAAGCUACGCGAAGAACCUUACCAGGUCUUGACAUCUUGCGCCAACCCUAGAGAUAGGGCGUUUCCUUCGGGAACGCAAUGACAGGUGGUGCAUGGUCGUCGUCAGCUCGUGUCGUGAGAUGUUGGGUUAAGUCCCGCAACGAGCGCAACCCUUGUUACUAGUUGCCAGCAUUAAGUUGGGCACUCUAGUGAGACUGCCGGUGACAAACCGGAGGAAGGUGGGGACGACGUCAGAUCAUCAUGCCCCUUAUGACCUGGGCUACACACGUGCUACAAUGGACGGUACAACGAGUCGCGAACUCGCGAGGGCAAGCAAAUCUCUUAAAACCGUUCUCAGUUCGGACUGCAGGCUGCAACUCGCCUGCACGAAGUCGGAAUCGCUAGUAAUCGCGGAUCAGCAUGCCGCGGUGAAUACGUUCCCGGGCCUUGUACACACCGCCCGUCACACCAUGAGAGUUUGUAACACCCAAAGUCGGUGGGGUAACCUUUUAGGAGCCAGCCGC
rnacentral:rRNA from 1 species